rnacentral:rRNA from 1 species
GACGAACGCUGGCGGCGUGCUUAACACAUGCAAGUCGAACGGAAAGGCCCUGCUUGCAGGGUGCUCGAGUGGCGAACGGGUGAGUAACACGUGGGUGAUCUGCCCCUUACUUUGGGAUAAGCCUGGGAAACUGGGUCUAAUACUGGAUAGGACCAUGCUGUAGGUGGUGUGGUGGAAAGAUUAGUUUCGGUAAGGGAUGAGCUCGCGGCCUAUCAGCUUGUUGGUGGGGUAAUGGCCUACCAAGGCGUCGACGGGUAGCCGGCCUGAGAGGGUGGACGGCAACAUUGGGACUGAGAUACGGCCCAGACUCCUACGGGAGUCAGCAGUGGGGAAUAUUGCACAAUGGGCGCAAGCCUGAUGCAGCGACGCCGCGUGGGGGAUGACGGCCUUCGGGUUGUAAACUCCUUUCAGCCAUGACGAAGCCCUUGUGGUGACGGUAGUGGUAGAAGAAGCACCGGCUAACUACGUG